rnacentral:rRNA from 1 species
UACCAGCACCCCGAGUGGUCGGGACGUUUAUUGGGCCUAAAGCAUCCGUAGCCGGUUCUACAAGUCUUCCGUUAAAUCCACCUGCUUAACAGAUGGGCUGCGGAAGAUACUAUGGAGCUAGGAGGCGGGAGAGGCAAGCGGUACUCGAUGGGUAGGGGUAAAAUCCGUUGAUCCAUUGAAGACCACCAGUGGCGAAGGCGGCUUGCCAGAACGCGCUCGACAGUGAGGGAUGAAAGCUGGGGGAGCAAACCGG